rnacentral:rRNA from 1 species
ACUUGAAUUGAAGAGUUUGAUCAUGGCUCAGAUUGAACGCUGGCGGCAGGCUUAACACAUGCAAGUCGAACGGUAGCAGGAGAAAGCUUGCUUUCUUGCUGACGAGUGGCGGACGGGUGAGUAAUGCUUGGGAAUCUGGCUUAUGGAGGGGGAUAACGACGGGAAACUGUCGCUAAUACCGCGUAGAAUCGGAAGAUGAAAGUGCGGGACCGCAAGGCCGCAUGCCAUGAGAUGAGCCCAAGUGGGAUUAGGUAGUUGGUGGGGUAAAGGCCUACCAAGCCUGCGAUCUCUAGCUGGUCUGAGAGGAUGGCCAGCCACACUGGAACUGAGACACGGUCCAGACUCCUACGGGAGGCAGCAGUGGGGAAUAUUGCGCAAUGGGGGGAACCCUGACGCAGCCAUGCCGCGUGAAUGAAGAAGGCCUUCGGGUUGUAAAGUUCUUUCGGUAUUGAGGAAGGAGAGUAUGUUAAUAGCAUACAUU